GCCAGGCGUUAUGGCGGGCGCCUGUGGUCCCAGCUACCUGGGAGGCGGAGGUAGGAGACUCGCUUGAGCCCAGGAGUUAGAGGUUGCUGUGAGUGUGAUGCCAUGGCACUCUACCCAGGGAGAUAGCUUGAGGCUCCGUCUCAAAAAAAAAAAAAAAAAAUGAGAUGCUGGAAAAGAGAAGAGGCAUAAUCUUUUUUUUUUUUUUUUUUUUUGAGACAGAGCCUCAAGCUGUCCCCCUGGGUAGAGUGCCAUGGCAUUACAGCUCACAGCAACCUCCAACUCCUGGGCUCAAGCGAGUCUCCUGCUGCCAC
rnacentral:SRP_RNA from 1 species